rnacentral:rRNA from 1 species
UACAGAGGUCACAAGCGUUGUUCGGAUUCAUUGGGCGUAAAGGGUGCGUAGGUGGCGCGCUAAGUCAGGUGUGAAAUUUCGGAGCUUAACUCCGAAACUGCAUUUGAUACUGGCGUGCUUGAGGACUGGAGAGGAGACUGGAAUUCACGGUGUAGCAGUGAAAUGCGUAGAGAUCGUGAGGAAGACCAGUGGCGAAGGCGGGUCUCUGGACAUUUCCUGACGCUGAGGCACGAAAGCCAGGGGAGCAAACGGG